UGAUAUGCCAAAGUAGUUCAUAACUUUGUUAACUUCGCAACAUCGUAUGGUUUGGGAUGAUUAGCUUGAAAUUACAUUAACUAGAUUACAAGUUCUGGAUUUACAAACGUACUUGCUUCAAAAAUCAUUAAAAGAAGCAUCAUACGGUCGAUUAUAAGCAAUCCUAGGUUCUAAAUUACGUUACAGCCAAGCCAAACGAAAGGAAUAAACUUCAAGAUAAAACUACAUAUCACUUUGCCAUGACACUUGCCCAGGCAUUUCCCUGCAUUUGCCUCUCCAGACCAUUACAAAGUUACACCAAGAAACCGCAGGGUACCCUCUAGCAUCAUGCCAUGACCUGCAAAUCCAAGAACCAGCAGCGUCAUACCGUCAACAUGAACAAGAGUACACGUGCACCAAGAUAAAUACAAAUUAAUACAUGAGUCAUUUCUAUUACUCUAAAUAUUAUCACCAUCAAUUAUGAGUGUAGAAUCUGCAACCAAAGUGGCAUUUGUCAAGCCAUAAUCUGCUGCAGACCCAAUCCAAACAUGUGUAACACACAUGACCUAACUUUAUUGCCAGGGUAAAUACAACCUUGCCAAUCACUUUGAAAAUGUAAUGCAUAAGCCAUGUUGAACCAUCAGCGGAACACCAAUUAGAGCAAGCUGCAAAUAGUCCAUACUUGUUAAAAAACCAUAAGCAAAGCAAUCAACAUAGUAUGAGUAGAGUACAAACACAUGAAGAGCAAGUCACUUUUUUCUAGGGAUUUUGUGCACGAACUCAUAUGGUUUGAGUUAUUAAUUUAAACUCACAUUAACUGAACAAUGAGGUUUAGAUCCAAACGUAAUUGCUUCAAAGGCCAUUAAUGAAAGAAGCUCACACAGUUGGUGAUAACAAUUCUAAGACCUAAAUUAUGGCACAAUCUAAACAAAAUGAAAGAGAGUAAACCUCAUCUCCAAGUCGCCCUAAAAGGAUACCUCGUUUGGAUGUCAUCUACGUUCGAUUCUCAGGAUACACCAAAGUGUUUCAAACCUGCAAAUUGAAAUCAGAGAACAAUCAACAGUUCCUAGUGGAUUUCGUAAAACAACACUAUUGGCACAAACCAAAUCAAAUCAUUUAUAUUUCAAAACCCCACAUUAGUAAAAAAAACAGAAAACCACAAAGCUAGUCUUUUGAGUCGAGGAAAAUACAAAUUACAUGCCAUUUAAAGCUCAAUUUUCAUGACAGUAAAAAUGGAAAUUCUUACCACAACGAGUAUAUGUUUUACUGUUGUAAAGGUUCAAUAGAUCUUACAACAAAAUGACGCGUCUUACCACCUUCAUUGUUUAGGGGACCAUACCAAAAUCUGGAGAUGAUUUUAUUCUAACAGAAUGAUCCGUUGUAUUUGGCCAGCUCACAAAUUUUGUACACAAUUCCAAAAUAACAUAUUUCCUCUAUAAAUAAGUAGGUUCCAAUCAUUGAGAAGGAUAUAUCGUUACCCUGCCGAAAUCCCACCUCAACCUGUACCUAAAAACUCAAAACACCAAAGGGGUACUCAGAGUUUAUCAUCAGAACUUUGAGUAAUCUGAGCUAAGACCCUGACAGAAUCACAUCAAGCACAGAACUAAGAAGAAGAAGGCGGCGAAAGAUAAGCAAAAUAAACGGAAGAAAAGCUCACGCUCAGAGUCGAAAAAGCACUUACUCGAGGUAAAGAAUAGUUGUCGGCGUCUCGCCGGAGUCGCGAAGCUCCGGCGGGAUCUUUUGCCUCUUUCUCCAACCUUUUCAAGGCGUCGAAACUCCAUGUGUUAGCCGCUUGCAUGUUUGAUUUGAUGAUUGUUUAUUUAUGCAUGACCGUUUGUAUUAGAACUAGACUAUUGUAGAUUUAAAGAUAAUCUUGCUGCGACCCGUGAAAUUCGAUAUUAGAUCUGUUUUUUUUCGGUUCGAUUUUGCUUGUGCUUUUUGUUUGGGUGUGAUAUUUUCCUCUUUGUUGAAACCAAGAACUAGUGUUAACGAAGAGAGAGAGGAGUCGUCGUUCGGUUUUUUUGAGUUAGUGAGGAUGAACACCGUGAGAUGUUCAUCCUUGGUUCUAUGAGUUGAAGACAUUUUCAGUUUCCUCUGUUUUUUUAGAAAGGUUUUUAGUUUGAUGUUAGAAGAAAGAAGGUGAGCAUGUAUGCAUGACCUUUAGGAGAUAGACAAAAUGUCCUUGUGUUUAUUUUAAUCUGAUUUUUCUGCCUAUUUUGGUUUGAUAACUUGUUGCUUGCUUUAGUUGUAUUCAUAUCUUGUUUGAACUUUGUUUCCCUCUUUCAUGACUAAUUUGAUUGAGUAGUUGCUAUUUGUUAACAUGUGAUCUUUUGGUGAUAGUUUUUGAUGUCUUAAAGCAUGUUUAGACUUGAGAAUUCACUUUUAUAUCUUGCUUGAUUGAUGUUCUUUUAUCUUCUCUUCCAUGACUUGAUAUGGAUUAUUUCAAUUUUUCUUUUGUCACUUGAUAUGGAUUGCUAUUGCUAUUAUCUUUCUCCAUGACUUUAUAUGGAUUACUAGCACUUUCUUUCCUUCCAUGAAUUGAUAUGGAUUAAUUUAUCUUUUCCAUGACUUGAUAUGAAUUACUAUUAUCUUUUUCCAUGACUUGAUAUGGAUUACUAUUACUUUAUUUUUCUUCCAUAACUUGAUAUGGAUUACUUUGCCUUUUGAUUCUUUCAUCUGUUCUUCCAUGACUUGAUAUGGAUUACUUUGCCUUUUCUUCCAUGACUUGAUAUGGAUUAUUUACUUUUCUUCCAUGACUUGAUAUGGGAUUGUUAAUCUUUUAUUAUUUCAUCUUUCUUCCAUGACUUGAUAUGGUAUUGCUUUCCUUUUCUUCCAUGACUUGAUAUGGGAUUGUUCUUCUAUUUUUCCAUGACUUGAUAUGGGAUUGUUCAUCUUUUUUUGUUUCAUAUUUCUUCAAUGACUUGAUAUGGUUUGUCAUCUUCUUCUAUCUUUUUUCCUUGUGUGAAUAACAUGUUCCCCAUAUUAUUUCCUUGGUUCAUUCUUGGUUAAUAUUGAACUAAAGUGGACCUUAGGUUUGUUAACCAAGCAUAACAACAUUGGGUAGUUCCCUAAUCCUUAAUCAUAUGUCAAUCUUUUCAUGCUAACUUAAGUAGACAUUUCCCUUUUAUCCUAACUUUAGGACCACUAUUGCAUGCCAACGUUAGGUUCUUUAGAAUUCCCUUAGAUUUUCCAUUCUCUUUUGCAUUAAUUCUAAAAUAAUUUUUUCUCUUAAUCAAAAUCCAAAAACAUUCUAAUACUACUUGAACUCUUUCAACAAUAAGAGAAAAGUACUUAAAUACCUCCCGCUUUGGGUGGACCAUUUGAUGUAUUCUCUCAACAAAACACUUAACCAAUCAAACUUAUUUUGCUGCUUGGCUUUUCUUAUGAAAAUUUUCAAUAAGGGUGGUUACCCAUAAAAAAAUACCAACAAACCAAUUUUUUUGAGAAGAACUACGGUGCUCUGAUUCUUUCAGGAUACGUAGGCAUUGGGUUGCAAAGCCUAAGCGAGCGCAGUAAUAAAAAACUUUCUUUUUAUUUGUAAAUAAUUCAAUCUUUUUGCACGCAUUCCAUUUUAGUUUGUAAGCUUUAGAAUAAACACACCCUUUUGAUUAGAACAACAAGAGUGGAUGAUGUAGAGUCAUAUAGACGUGAGGGGUGCUAAUACCUUCCCCUCGCGUAAUCGACUCCCUUACCCAUCUCUUGGUUGCGAGAUCAUUAGAUUCAUCUUUUUGUAGGUUUACUCAGUGUUUCCUUUCUUUCUCUUAGGAUAAAUAACAUUUAUGGCGACUCUGUUUUGUGUGCGUGUUUUUCGAGACAUGACACCAACCUCGUUUCACCAUGAAGAUCUUGCCCUUGGCAAUCACUAAAAUACAACUGCAAUGAAAAAACAAAACAAUUACAAGAUGCAAUAAAGUUAUAUUAAUUAGAGUAUUCCUAGGCAAACAUGGAAGAAACCAAAGUCCAUCAUGCAAUGAUGAUAUCAACGACUAAGAUGCAUAAAGGUAAUGCAAUCCGAAUAUCACACAAAUGCAAUAGUAAAACCAUUAUUUUGAACAACAUCAAUUGGAGUUGUUUUCAAGGAAGUAUUUGAGACGACAAUGAAAAAAUAAAGUUUACUUCAGCCUUGUUGAUCUGAUCGAAGUUCUGAAACACGGGAAAAUUGAAAAUAAUCCUUUGGUCUUUUUCCUCCCUGCAACAAUAAUCAAUAAGUCUUUCUCUGAACAUCUUCAGCAAGGAAUGAGUAAUUGCCAUGUUUGAGUAUAAUGAAAAUAAAAUGUUUAAGGUGACAAGAAGGAUUCAAUUUAUGUUUGCAUUAAAAUUUAAGGUUCGACUAUAUCUAACAUGUUACAGCAGCAGUAACGCAAUGAAAUAUCAGUAAAAACACAAAUUUCAUGGGACCACCUGAAUUUAUAGAAAACUUACAUACCUCACUACAGACAAACUUCAUCAAAAAUUUCCCUAUUAUACCCCUAAGAGAUCCAUAAUCAGUCCCCACUAAACCUAAGAAGAAUUCCCCUCUAACGGAAAUGAUUCCUAUCAUUUGCCAACUCACAAUUCAUACAUGAUUUAAGGGCCUCACACCUCAUUCUAUGAGUAGAGCUCACUCAAUCAUUGGAAGAGGAGAAUGCACUGAUACCGUUACUCUGUAAAAAUAUUUCUAAAACCUCACUAAAGCUCUAUUUCUCUUCUGAGGUUGUUGAGUUUCACCUUGAAGCUCAAUAAACUCGAGCUAAGCCAUCACUCACGCAAACCUAGUAACACACACUACAAACAACAAUAGAAAAUCGAGACAUAUAAGAGAUUUGAGAAACAGAGGAAGGAGAAAUAGAGGACUCACCAUAGACUCUAAAUCAGUAGAACCUGCUGUCUUGUUUUCAUUUAUUUAUUGCUCAUUUGAUUUGCAUAUUGUACCAUGUAAUCUUGCGUAAGUAUUGCAAAGGGGGUUCUGAUUUUUGUUGCGGGGUGGGGUAUUCAUUAUGAUUAAUUUUCGUAUAAUAUGAAGAUAUUAUUGCACGUUUGAUGUUUGAUUUGUUGUUAGGAUUUUGUAUGCUUUAAUUUGGGUCCGACUAGGUUUAAGAUUGGGAUUUUAUGACUCACUGCUUUUGAUCUAUUUUUGCUGGUUGUUUUCAUUUAAGGUUUGGGUUUUAGUUUUUGUGAGAAAUUGAGGAGAAGACUGUGUCGUUCAGAUGAGAGAUUAUGGAAAUGGUUGAAUCUUCAAUCUUCAUCCACGAUUUUACUUUUAAGAAAAUGAUAAGGACAAAGAUGAUGUCUUAAAAAAGAGAGAAAAUAAAAUAAUGGGGAAAAUGAGAGUAUGAAAGGUAAGCGUUCAAUUUUUCUUAAAGGGUCACGAUUCGAUUUUCAAUAUAAUAUAUCAUUCUUCAUUAUUUUUUGUUUUUUUAAAUGGUAUUACUUGAUAGGUUUUAAUAUUAGUAAUCGAUUUUAAUGGUGAGUUAGUAGGAGUCAUAAGGAUGACGUGUGAUUCAUGUUGAUAGUUGUCCCUCUUUUUUGAAUUUAUAAUACAAUUAAUACCAUAUAUUAUUAUUAAAUGGGUUCUUAUUACUAAAUGACACGUUGCCUUAGAGCAUCUCCAACCGUGAACCCAUUUUUGGGUUCUUUGUGGGACCUAUUAAGCCACGUCAGCUUGAAGUAACUCAACUAUUUUUUCACUCCAAUGGUACAACUCUGAAGAACUCAGAUUGGAUCUCACAACUUUAUUUUAUAUAUUAAUAUUUUAUUCAUAUUAAAUUUUAUAUUAAUUAAAAUAAUAAUUUUAGUGUUUUAAAUUAACUUUGAUAUAAAAUAAAAAAAAAUUAAUUAAACUUAUUGAAGGAACCGUUGCUUCACGUUGGCAUAUGCUUGAAACUAGAAAAAGUGAAGAGAUGGGUGCCAUGCUGGCAAACCCAUUGAAGGAACCACCAGUGGAGGUGGUCUUAGGGACUGGUGUUUGGUCUGCCUGAGGUUUGAUGUUUUUAUUGCCUCCAACCUUUGACUGAUUAUUUGCAGUAAUGUUCCUUUAAUGCUAGGCGUUUGUUUGAAUAUUAUGGUUUACUACCCCUUUGUUUCUUGCUUCGGGUCCAAGGGUUAUGGGCCAUUUGAGGUCCAACCCAUUUCCUUUCCAUGGGUAGCGCACUGCUUAUCCAAACACCUCAUUAUCUUUUGUUUUGGGCUCAUCAUUUAAGUCCAUGUUUAUUUUUUGCUAUCUUAUUUUAUAAAAUGCUCAUAUCAUAUUUGAUUAUUAAAUAAUAUAUAUUCUUAUUAGUUAAUUAAUGUAUUUAAAUAUGAUUGUUUUAAAUUAGUAAAUACUUUCCUCUGGUGAGUAUGGCCGGAGAAGAUAACCGAAGCUAGGGUUCUGGUGGUGCGCUGACGUAGUCCAAACCAUCUGAUCCAUUGGCCAUGUUCUAAUCUGAUCCAUCGUUUCUGAUUACUAAUGCUAGAUGCGCGUUGACUAAGGUGUUUGGGGGAUAGCGCGCAUUGGCCAUAAGAUUUGCCACCUCAAUUAAUGAGGGAGAUAUGAUGACCCUUGUUUUUUCUGAUUAAUUCUAUUUUCCAUUUAAUAUUUGAAAUAAUAUUUUCUCAUUUAAUUCAUUAUAAUUUCAAUUUUAAUCCAAAAAAUAUGGGACUUUUACCAAAAUAUCAUAAAUAAUCGCCUCUACCAUUUUCUAAACUAAAAUCAUAUUUUGGAUUUAGUUUGAUAUUUUUAGUGAAUUUUGUGAUUUUUGACUUGUUUUUAAUUGAUUUUAAAUACUCCUGACUUUCAAAAAAUGCCAAAAAAUUAGUCAAUGGUCAUUUGACCUUGUUUGACCUAUGAUAAAUCUUUUGGCUAUUUCUUUGGUGAUUUGAAGGGAUUUUAGGUUUUUCCCCUUUUAAAAAUUAAUUUAAUUGUUUUAAUAUUUUGUUGAGCUUUUGUUCUGACUUUGUGUUGACUCAACUUCUGUUUCGCCUUGAUCUUGGUUGAAUUGGACAUUAAUUUGAUUAAUGCCAUUGGAUUUAGGGGUUGAUGAAGUUUCAACUUCAUCCCUCAAAAUGAAUGGAUGGUAUUGAUAAAGUGAGGUUCAUCCCUUGAUCAAUUUGGGAUCCUUGUCACUUCAUAUCUUCGUCUUCAUCUCACUUCUUUCCUCAAUCCUUCAUUGACCAAUGGUUUCUCAUAAAUCAAAAUGCUAGUUGAUUCACCAAUGACCUUGUGUCAGAUGAAUCAAAAUGAGCUUGAUUGAGAUAGGUCCAUCCCCCCUUAUUUUCGUGUGUGGUAUGCUUUAGGAGCUUGGUCUUUAUACCUUAUCUCUAGCAUGCAUUAAUACCAAUAUUAUUAUUGGCCGGCCUCAAAUAGUUGUGACUUCUACAUAAGUCCAAUUAUGAUUGCUUAACAUAAAGCUAAGUUUGUCCCAAAUGCAUAACAUUUUUGUAAGUGAGAUUGUAAGUCUCCCAUUCCUCAUGGUAUUGUAUGAAGAUUUUAACUAUUUUCCAUUUAUGAGAGGUAGUGGCAUACCUGUUGAUUUAUCCACGUUGGAGUCUUUAUCAUGAAUGAUGUCUAGGUUCAUAUCUUCAUGCUUGUGAGUGAAUGGUUUAGUGUUCUCCAAAAAACGACUUAAAAACAAUUUCCUUCUUCCACUAACUUUGACUAACAUAUUUUGUAUUGACUUUAUCUUAAUGCCAUUUACUUCAAUGCAAUUUAAAUUCUUUCACUUUAUCAUUCAUUAUCAUUUAAAUUUCAUGCAAUUUGUUUAUGUUUCAGUCAUUUUCACUUUGCUCACUUGAGCCAUAUUUUGUGCUUAUAUUAUAUUGUGCUUGUGAUUUUAUUUUGUUUGUGGUCUUAGGACCUUAAAACACUUAAUAAAAACAAAAACCCUAAAAAAUAUAUUGAUGGACUGUUGGACCUCUGUCUGUGACUUGAUCUGAACCUAUGGACUUAGAGUAGGCAACAUCCUAGAGCUAUGGAGACUUGACCAAUGCCAUUAAUUUUUUGAGACUGAGAUUUCUUGGCCAAUGUCAUUCAUAUGAUACAAGCCUUAAGAUACUCCCUUUGGUUAUUUUGACCUUAUUGAUAUUAUCUGAUGAUUUCUCUUUGAGUAUGUUUCAAGGGAUAUUUCAUAUGAUACAUCUAAAGGACAUUAAAGACUGCUUGCUUUGGAGUGCUUGCUAGGAUGUUUGGUUAUCUUUAUUUGAUAACAUUGGUAUUCUUAUUAAUUGCUUGGGUGAUUAUGCUUGUUGCUUGCUUAACAAUCCAAAGGAAAUGAGUUUCUAUCUGACAUUUUUGUCUUGUGGAUACUUCCCAUUGGUUAGAUCUUUUCAACUCUAAACUUUUAAAUCUUGUUUAUGAUGGUCCCUUCAUCUCCUCCUACUUCUUUAAUUUCAAAAUCUCUCCCUCAUUUUAAAAACUUCUUUGCUUGUGUUUUCAACUUAGACUUGUUUUCAUGAGUAGAAACCUUGACCUUAUGCCAUUGACUUUCAAAAUAUUUUCUUAAUCAAACUUGUAAAUGAACUUAAUUAUAUUGACCUUAUUUUCAAAAAGACAAAAAAGAACUAACAACCUCAUUUAAUCAUUUUGGCCAUUUUUGUGCCUUUUCUUUUAAACUUUUCAAAAGAAAGCAUUUAAAUUUGAGUUAUCUUUGGUUGAGAUAUAAUUCUCCCAUUCCAUGAUAUUUUGAAUGUAAGUCUUUCCAUUUAUUAGGGGUUAGUGGCAUACUUGUUGAUUGAAUCCAAGUUGGAGCCCUCCCUCUUAAAUUUUGUAAAUCCCUCAUUAUUGGUGGAUGUUUGGUUGAGUAUUCUCCCAUUGAUAACAAAAGAUCUUUAAGCUUUUGUUAAGAUCAAUCCAUCCAUCUUUGAAAUUUUUACCAUGAACUACGAGAUUUUUAUCCCUCAUUUUUAUGUUGGUAAGUAGGCAUAAGACCAAAGGUCUUGUCAAACAUAAAAUUGUAAAUAAUAAAUUAUUUUCUCAUCCCCUCAUUCUAUUUUUUUAGCAAACAUUUUUUUCAACUAAAACACUUGCACACAAAAGGGCUCCCUAGGAGUACCUAUGACACUUUGGGUGCUAAUACAUUCCCUCUGUGUAACCAACCCCCUUACUUGUAAUCUCUGACAUUUUAUUAGUUUUGAUUUGAAAACUUAUUAUCUUUAGGUUUUGUUCGUACUUUUUUCCAUUUUCCUUUGGAAACAAUAAAAGCGCAUUGGCGAUUCUUGUUUUAUUGACGUUGAGCUAAUCCAUAGCUCAGUUGUCAUGAAUUUACCGCUACAGUGGGCUUGGUGGGGCACAAAUGGACACACAUACUACCUACAAAAGAAACAAAGUUAUACUAGACAUAUUUUUGUAUUUUGGUUAGUAAACAAAAAAAAUAAAGUAUGAUACAAUCAAAUAUGCUUAGUGAUAUCUCCCAAUGUAAACCCAAUGAAUGAUAGGUGAGGAUAAUACCAAGGUGUGAUCCCAAUGGCAAUGCAAAGCUAUGAGAUGGCAUGAGGGAUCUUAGGGGUCAAAAUUGGGGUCUUACACACACCAUAAUGUUAGAAUAAGAUUUAGUUAUGCAUUUAUACCUUGCGUUUUGAUGAUAACAAUGUUGUAUUUGUGUGAGAACAAUUUUGGUACUCUAAUGGUUUGUUAUUGUGUAGCUUUAACAACCAGUUUCGGUUAUGAGUUUAUAACGUGCAGCAUCAUCAGUUUCUGGAUAUUCUGUUCUAAUUCCGCUUCUAUGCUAAUCAUGAGAAGUUCUAAAAGAUGUUCAAGUUGUUGCUGCAAUGAUCUUUCUGCUUCUGUGUUGAUUCACUCCUGAGAAGCUUACGAGGAGACGAUGUGUUACUGCUGCAACGUUCUCUCAGUUUGUGCUUCUGGAUGUGACUCUGAUAAUCAAGAUUUUGAAGAAUGGAAAGCUUCUGAAGUUUUAUUACUUAGCUGAAGAUUAUGAAGAUCUCAAGUCAGACGUUGAGGUUAUCAAGGUUCUGACUGAAGAGUUUGAAGAUUCUGAAGAUACUGAAGAUCUCAAGCCAGACUGCUGACAUUGUCAAGGUUCUGACUAAAGAUUAUGAAGUUUCUGAAUCCAGCUGUAUGUUUCUUCAUUUCAUGCUUCAUCAAAUUUAAUCACAAGCCAAUGAAUUUGAAGAUAAGAUCAAAAUGGAGACGUGAUCAAAUAGUACAUGGUACAAAUUAAAUAUUCCUUCCACUAUCUGAUAUCGUGGGAAAAUGAUGUAAUAUACAUCACACCUGUCACUAAAAUUGUGUGUGAAUGACAAUACUAUAUGUCACUCCUUUUACCAUUCCAACAAUGGACAAUCACUCUAUUUGGUAUCCCCAUUUUACUCUCAAACGGUCUCUUUUCUUAUGUUAUAUAAGUGAGACUUGCAGACUUGAAGAAAAAAAGCGGCGCUGCAACAAUUUGACAAGUUUAUUUCUUUGUGAAAAACUAUCAAUUUUGUACACAAUCUUUCUUUAAGUAUUUGUUUAUCAUUUGCGUAAAAUCUGCUUGUGUAGAAGCAUCUUGAAAACACAAAACUUUGAUUCAAACUAUUUGUUUGUAAUUCCUUAAGGAGACUAGGGUAUAGUCAGAUCCUUGAGAAGACAAAUAAAGUUGUUCUUUGUGAUUCCUAAAGGAGACUAGUGUAUAGUCGGAUCCUUGAAAAGAUAAAGAAGGUUAUUCUUUGUGAUUACUGUAAUGAGUUGAUCAUAGUGGAUUAAGUCAUUGUGUAUAAGGCAAAAUCACCUUGGCGGAUGGACUAGAGUAGCUUUGAGUUUCAAGCGAACUAGGAUAAAAAUACUUGUGUUUUUAUCUCUUUGUUAUUAAGAUUUGAGUGGUGUUUUGAGUUGGUAAAAAACUUUUUUUUAAAACCCAACUCAAACCCCCAAUUUCUUGUGUUUUUCACAUUUUCACAUAGAACUUGCAACCAUCCAUGCAUUUUACUACCAUCCUCUUUCCAUCAUUUUUCUUCAAAGCAACGUUUUUCUUUAUCUCCAUUGCAUACUCCUUCAAAGCAUCCCUAACCAUCUCUUUGUUGUUGAAUAUCAUACCUAGUUGAAACUUGAAUAUCUCUCCACUUUUAUAAGCUGGAAACCUCUCAUGUUCCUCCUCAUCAUCACUAGUAGGAGGUGUAUGCAACACAUUAGAGUCAUCAUCCACAUAAGAACUGUUCACUUUAUCAACUAACUUAUCAUAAGGUAAUAUUGUGCUUUAAUCGAUAUCAUCAAUCUCAUCACUAUGCUCAUAUGCGGUGUCACUGGCACUGUCCAAAUCAUCUUCACUUCCAAUAUAGUAUAGGUCAACACUUUCGUUCCCUACUUGUACUUCAUCCUCAACAUUUUUACUCCCUACUUGCACUUCAUCUUCAACAUUUUCACUUCCAACUUGCACAUCAUCAUCAACCCUAUCAACUUCUACUUCCUCAUCAUCAAAAUUUGGAGAAAAUUCAUCAUUAAAGUGUACUUCCUCAGGAUAAUCAUGAACUAAUUGUGCAUCAUCUAUCACUUCAAGAUUAUCAAUGGCAUGCUCUACAUACACAUCUACCAAUUCAAACCCAUUAGCUGCCUCAAUAAACUUAAGAACAUCAACAUCACAAUUAAGGGGUCCAAGGCGACGACUAAAGUAAAACCUAGGGUUCCAGUACCACAAACACUUGAUAUUCGUAUAUCCCUCAUUUCUUAUCAUUCAUUCCAGCUGCAUAUAGGACAUAUAGUCCACAUCCCACUUUUAAUUCAUUUCAGAGACUACUACAUUAAUGUACCACUUGAUAGGUGUUUCUACUAGUUUUCCCCUAUGAUGAAUUCUUAACCUAAUUGAACGAUUCUGAGAUGGCCUGGAAAAAAAUUAAAAUGCAAAGUCAUAACUUGUACCCAAAAAUGACAGAUAUAUAACAACAAACCCUAAACCCAGAAAACAAAAAGCAUUUCACAUACCUCAAACAAUAUUUCACUUCUUUUUUAUUCAUCUUCUGAAUACCUUGAACAACGAAACAUAAUGAACACAUUUGCUUGUGCUGAAGAACGAAACGGGAUGAACCUCUAGAAGAUGAUGUGGGUGGACGAUGGUGAGUAAUGAAAGGGGGUGAACGAGAUUUAGAGAUUUUGAAUUUGUUUUAAUGUUUUAAUGUUUUAAUUUGAUUUUAUAAAUUAUAUUGGACUAUAUUGAUAAAAUACUAUUUCAAGAAAAAUUAUCAAAGGUUUUUUUUAGUUCUUUAUUUUUAUUAAUGACGUGGUGCCAACUAUUGUGUGUCAACUCAGUCUUUUCACUUGACAAAUAAACCAAAGUUUGUAGGAACAAAAAAAAUCCUAUCAAAGUUUAAUUGGGGACCAAAAAAGGCUGAAAAAUUAAAUACAGGGUUAAAAGAUAAAAAAAAAUAGAAGGACCAAAAAUGUAUUUAAGACAAAAUUAUUUAUUAAGUUAUUGUACUCAAUUUUGUUUAAUAUAUUUUUAACUAGUAAUAAAAUUAAUCCAUCAAAAUCUUACCAUUUAAAAAUACUAGUAAGACUCAUGCAAGUGGAGGCAGAAAGUUAAUAUUGCUACUUCUGAAAAUACAUUUCUAAAAUUUUUUGGAAUUUCAUUUUUGAAAUAAACUUAUAAAUAAAUUUGAUGUGUGAUUUAAAAAUGAAUGAGUUAUAUAUAUAUAAUAUAAUAUGUUUAAAAAUACAUCUUCAACAUCGAAAAAUAUUUUUAAAAAUUGGCGUAAUAAAAUAGAAAUAUAUAAGAGGCGUUAAAGAAGCUUAUUUUUUAUUUAUCUUAUUUUAUUUUAUUUUUACUAUUUCUUUCAUUUUUUUAAUUAUUUGGUGAUGCAUCUUUUCAAUUAGUAAUUAUCUAACCGCAUGUUUAGUACUCACAACUACACAACAUUCAUUAUUUUAAAAAUAUUAUGACUACUCCAUUUUAAAAAUAUAAUUAUGCCAAAUUAAUAUUUUUUAUCCAUUGAUUAUUUUUUAAUACUUUAACAUUUAUUUAAGAUCUUUAUAAAUAUUUUUAUGGGUACAAAAUAAUGGCAAUGUAGUGACUGCUAAAAUUGUAUUUUUUUUCUUCCUUCAAUAUGUAUUUUCUUAAAUUCUAAUAUCAAUAUUUUCAACUACAUCUAUAUAUUUUUAUGCUCUAAAAUCAAUUUGUAAUAGUAAACAAAUGUGCAAUCUGCGUGUCCGCGAGUUUUUUUACUUAAUGAUGAAAUGAAAUAAAAUUUAUACAUCUUUCUCCAUCUAAUUUUAAUUGAUAAGAAAAAACAUAAUUUAUAUAGUAACAUUUUAUUCAGCUGCAUUCCUUUAUUUAUUUAUUUCUAAAUGAAAUCAUAUGAAUAAUAUAAAUAAUGCCGUUCCUGUGUUAGGAAGCUAACUACUUUUUUUCUUUCUAAAAAAAUCUGAGCAACUAAAAUCUUUGUGAAACAAUUUAAAAAAAAAGUAUCAAAAAUCAAAUCCUACUCUUACCAAGCUUGAUGCGUGUGUGGUGAUGAGGCGAUAAAGGCUUCAUCCACUAGGAUGCUGCUUUUCUCUCCUUCAUCCACCAAAUUUCUUCAUGAUAACAUUAACACAUUAAUUAACAUGUUGCUUUUGCAACCGCAACUAACUGCUACUCCGUUACCGUUCCAUUCAACCCGCGUUAAAAUUUUCCCAAUCCAUCGCCGCCACCACCACUACCACCACUGUGCCAUCUCUCAGCCACCUCCAUCCGCCACCACAUCCUUCUCAUCCGCCAACCUAAUAAUCAAAGACGACGGCCCCGACGACAUUCUUU
rnacentral:lncRNA from 1 species